rnacentral:rRNA from 1 species
AUGGGAGGCAGCAGUGGGGAAUAUUGCACAAUGGGCGAAAGCCUGAUGCAGCGACGCCGCGUGAACGAAGAAGUAUUUCGGUAUGUAAAGUUCUAUCAGCAGGGAAGAUAAUGACGGUACCUGACUAAGAAGCACCGGCUAAAUACGUGCCAGCAGCCGCGGUAAUACGUAUGGUGCAAGCGUUAUCCGGAUUUACUGGGUGUAAAGGGAGCGCAGGCGGUGCGGCAAGUCUGAAGUGAAAUCCCGGGGCUCAACCCCGGAACUGCUUUGGAAACUGUCGUACUAGAGUGUCGGAGGGGUAAGCGGAAUUCCUAGUGUAGCGGUGAAAUGCGUAGAUAUUAGGAGGAACACCAGUGGCGAAGGCGGCUUACUGGACGAUAACUGACGCUGAGGCUCGAAAGCGUGGGGAGCAAACAGGAUUAGAUACCCUGGUA